GCCGACAGUUGGUAACUUCAGCUUCCCAAGCUGAUAGCGCGGGUUCGAUUCCCGUCAUCCGCUCCA
rnacentral:tRNA from 2 species